UACGUAGGGCGCAAGCGUUAUCCGGAAUUACUGGGCGUAAAGCGUGCGCAGGCGGCUUUGCAAGACAGAUGUGAAAUCCCCGGGCUCAACCUGGGAACUGCAUUUGUGACUGCAUGGCUGGAGUGCGGCAGAGGGGGAUGGAAUUCCGCGUGUAGCAGUGAAAUGCGUAGAUAUGCGGAGGAACACCGAUGGCGAAGGCAAUCCCCUGGGCCUGCACUGACGCUCAUGCACGAAAGCGUGGGGAGCAAACAGG
rnacentral:rRNA from 1 species